GGAAAAGCUCAGCUUGUAAAUCUCCAUACGGUUUCCGCAUGUGAGAAUUGUAGCGUGUAGACGAGGUCACCAGCAGCGGCCUGAGGAUAAUUCGCCUGGGAUGGUGAAUCAUAGAGGGUGACAAUCCCGUCUGUGCCUCAGAGUCCGCUGUCGUACGGUGCUCGUUCUUCGAGUCGAGUUGCUUGGGAAUGCAGCUCUAAGUGGGUGGUAAGUUCCAUCUAAAGCUAAAUAUUGACAAGAGACCGAUAGCGAACAAGUACCGUGAGGGAAAGAUGAAAAGAACUUUGAAAAGAGAGUUAAAAGUACUUGAAAUUGUUAACAGGGAAUCGCUUCUACUCCAAGCUCUGAUUGUAGGAAAUCAGCCUUGCUCGCGGCGUGUGCUGUAGGACGGAGUUGCCACUCGGUAGCCCGUCCUGCGGUUCUUAGUUGUGAUAAGGGUGCACUUUUCUGCAGUAGGGUCAACAUCAAUUCUCGUUCCGCGAGAUGGUCGUGCAUCAAGGUAGUUCCUCACUUCGGUAAGGAAAACUUAUAGGGUGCGUGUGCCGAGCGGAAGGGGGAUUGAGGACAACAAUGGCAUGCCUCUAGGCUGUGACGUGCGUCACUUGCGCUGAUGGGCUGGCAGACUGCAAGCAGUGUGUCGGCGUAUUGGUGUUGGUAGGUGUACUAGCAAUGUGCCAUCAGGAUGUUGACGUAAGGGGUAGCAUCGACCCGUCUUGAAACACGGACCAAGGAGUCUA
rnacentral:rRNA from 1 species